CAGCAGCCACGGGAAUACGGAGGAUCCAAGCGUUAUCCGGAAUCAUUGGGUUUAAAGGGUCCGUAGGCGGUCUAGUAAGUCAGUGGUGAAAGCCCAUCGCUCAACGGUGGAACGGCCAUUGAUACUGCUGAACUUGAAUUAUUAGGAAGUAACUAGAAUAUGUAGUGUAGCGGUGAAAUGCUUAGAGAUUACAUGGAAUACCAAUUGCGAAGGCAGGUUACUACUAAUUGAUUGACGCUGAGACGCGAAAGCGUGGGGAGCAAACAGGAUUAGAUACCCGCGUAGUCCCUGUCUCUUAUAC
rnacentral:rRNA from 1 species